UACACUCCUGCGGGAGGCAGCAGUGGGGAAUAUUGGACAAUGGGCGCAAGCCUGAUCCAGCCAUGCCGCGUGAGUGAUGAAGGCCCUAGGGUUGUAAAGCUCUUUUGUGCGGGAAGAUAAUGACGGUACCGCAAGAAUAAGCCCCGGCUAACUUCGUGCCAGCAGCCGCGGUAAUACGAAGGGGGCUAGCGUUGCUCGGAAUCACUGGGCGUAAAGGGUGCGUAGGCGGGUCUUUAAGUCAGGGGUGAAAUCCUGGAGCUCAACUCCAGAACUGCCUUUGAUGCUGAAGAUCUUGAGUUCGGGAGAGGUGAGUGGAACUGCGAGUGUAGAGGUGAAAUUCGUAGAUAUUCGCAAGAACACCAGUGGCGAAGGCGGCUCACUGGCCCGAUACUGACGCUGAGGCACGAAAGCGUGGGGAGCAAACAGGAUUAGAUACCCCGGUAGUCCCAU
rnacentral:rRNA from 1 species